rnacentral:rRNA from 1 species
AGUGGAGCAAUCCAUGAGUAAAGUGGCGCACGGGUGAGUAACACGUGACUAACCUACCCUUGAGUGGGGAAUAACUUCGGGAAACCGAGGCUAAUACCGCAUAACACCUACGGGUCAAAGGAGCAAUUCGCUUAAGGAGGGGGUCGCGGCAGAUUAGUUAGUUGGCGGGGUAAUGGCCCACCAAGACGGUGAUCUGUAUCCGGCCUGAGAGGGCGCACGGACACACUGGAACUGAAACACGGUCCAGACUCCUACGGGAGGCAGCAGUGGGGAAUUUUGCGCAAUGGGGGAAACCCUGACGCAGCAACGCCGCGUGGAGGAUGAAGUCCCUUGGGACGUAAACUCCUUUCGAUCGGGACGAUUAUGACGGUACCGGAAGAAGAAGCCCCGGCUAACUUCGUGCCAGCAGCCGCGGUAAUACGAGGGGGGCGAGCGUUGUUCGGAAUUAUUGGGCGUAAAGGGCGCGUAGGCGGCUGGAUAAGUCUUGUGUGAAAUCUUCGGGCUCAACUCGAAGUCUGCACAGGAAACUAUCCGGCUUGAGUGUGGGAGAGGUGAGUGGAAUUCCUGGUGUAGCGGUGAAAUGCGUAGAUAUCAGGAGGAACACCUGUGGCGAAAGCGGCUCACUGGACCACAACUGACGUUGAGGCGCGAAAGCUAGGGGAGCAAACAGGAUUAGAUACCCUGGUAGUCCUAGCC